rnacentral:misc_RNA from 1 species
GUAACAAGGUUUCCGUAGGUGAACCUGCGGAAGGAUCAUUAAAUAAUCAAUAAUCUUGGCUUGUCCAUUAUUAUCUAUUUACUGUGAACUGUAUUAUUAUUUGACAUUUGAGGGAUGUUCCAAUGUUAUAAGGAUAGACAUUGGAAAUGUUAACCGAGUCAUAAUCAGGUUUAGGCCUGGUAUCCUAUUAUUAUUUACCAAAUGAAUUCAGAAUUAAUAUUGUAACAUAGACCUAAAAAAUCUAUAAAACAACUUUUAACAACGGAUCUCUUGGUUCUCGCAUCGAUGAAGAACGUAGCAAAGUGCGAUAACUAGUGUGAAUUGCAUAUUCAGUGAAUCAUCGAGUCUUUGAACGCAACUUGCGCUCAUUGGUAUUCCAAUGAGCACGCCUGUUUCAGUAUCAAAACAAACCCUCUAUCCAACUUUUGUUGUAUAGGAUUAUUGGGGGCCUCUCGAUCUGUAUAGAUCUUGAAAUCCCUGAAAUUUACUAAGGCCUGAACUUGUUUAAAUGCCUGAACUUUUUUUUAAUAUAAAGGAAAGCUCUUGUAAUUGACUUUGAUGGGGCCUCCCAAAUAAAUCUCUUUUAAAUUUGAUCUGAAAUCAGGCGGGAUUACCCGCUGAACCUAAGCAUCUCA